CAGUAGCCGCGGUAACACAGAGGGUGCGAGCGUUAAUCGGAUUUACUGGGCGUAAAGCGUGCGUAGGCGGCUUUUUAAGUCGGAUGUGAAAUCCCUGAGCUUAACUUAGGAAUUGCAUUCGAUACUGGGAAGCUAGAGUAUGGGAGAGGAUGGUAGAAUUCCAGGUGUAGCGGUGAAAUGCGUAGAGAUCUGGAGGAAUACCGAUGGCGAAGGCAGCCAUCUGGCCUAAUACUGACGCUGAGGUACGAAAGCAUGGGGAGCAAACAGGAUUAGAUACCCCGGUAGUCCCUGUCUCUUAUAC
rnacentral:rRNA from 1 species